GCGACUUCUUACCGCAGUGGUUAGUGGUCAAUGCAAAGACCCUCCGGAGUGCUGGAAAUAAGGUGCCCACUGCACAAAGAGGAACCAGGGAUCUGUAGGCUGAGCCUGGAGUUAGAAUGUUGUCUGCAGAGUGAGGUCCUUCAAGCAGGAUCAGCUUCUAGUGGGACAGACAUUGUAUAUCAUCAGUCGCUUUUGAUUCACAGACACAUCAUUCGGAGUUCUACCGCUGCCAUGGUGUGACACUCUCUUCCUGUGUUGUUCCUCCCUUCACUGUAAGUCAUAUUGGAUGAAGGGGCUGUCUUAAUGCAGCAGGAUCUUUUCUUAACUAACUGUAUCCGCAACAAACAACAUCUCACUCUCGGUUUUUAAAAAGGACACGGAAUUUGGGGUAGUUACUUUUCAAUGUAUUAGAGUUAUAGGGGAGGGUGGUUUUUUUCUUUUUUCUUUUUGUCUGGUCUUACACCACAAAGCAGCAUGCUUAUAUAACACAGAGAACAGAUUUACUAGGAUUCUGUUGGUCACACGGGACUCUUCCUCAGAGGGGAAGUAUGUGAAAACCUAGGUCAGAUUCUCUGAGAGUCCCUGCACAUAUGUGGCCUAUGUGCAGCUUGG
rnacentral:sRNA from 1 species